CUCACUGGCUGUCUGAUGGGGCCGACGGGGUCGUCGAGCUCCUUAAAGAGGGUGAAUUGUAAAAUCCCACAUCAGCGAGUGAGGAGUUGGUUGCUGGCCUUAUUAGUAGUGCUGGUCGCUGACCUUUUGUACGCGUUUUGAGGUGUCAGGUCUAAUGAUGGGCUCGCAUCACCAGGAACAAAACCGUGAGGGCGGAAGGCCCAGAGCGAACAAUAUACAGCAGGUUGGGCUAGGCUGUUACAUGCUCAAUCAAGUAAACGGGUACCUUGUUCACUCAGGAAGUAACUUUUACAAAACCUAGCUCCAAACCCUAAAAAUUUCACUCUAGAUAAGAAAAUUCCAUAUUAAGAAUUUCUAAUUCAAUGAAAAACUUCAUUACAUUUUAGAAUUAUCCAUUUUUAAGCUUCUACCACAAACUCAAUCAUUCAAGAAACUACAUGUGAUUUUUCUGGUAAUAGUCUUUAGCACAUUAAGCUUCUAAAAGGUCACCAACAUUAAAGGCUGCAAAUAUAUGAGAGGAGAGGGAGAAAAAAAAAGUUUCAUCAAAUAUAUUUCUUGACUUCAGUAACAAAAAAUUGUGACAGCAUCUCCUAAAACCACCAUCUAAAUUAUUCCUCUUUCCAAACACAUACAUUUGCUUAAAACUGUGCACAGAGAUAUGAGAGAUCUCAGUAAAAGAACAAAGAUGUUCUCAGGGAACAAAAAGGAGUUUGUUUUGUUAUAUAUUAAGCUUGAUUUGAAUACAAACAUAUAAACUAAUAGGAUGUUUGACCAAACCUUAUCAUCCCAGCGUUCAACACCUUGAUACAAUAGAGCAAAUUCAACAUCAAGAAAGGGAAAAAAAACAAAGUUGAAAGCAAAAUAAGCAUAUGCUGCUCAGAACUAAAGACCAACAAUUGGUUUUUAGUCUGGGUAAAGUACAGCCUUAUACGAGUGAUUAAGAUGCAUUUCUAAGCUUCAGUGUUACCUGCAUGAGACUGCUCUCAGAACUCACACCCACAGUUUAGUAAAAGUGGCCUUU